rnacentral:rRNA from 1 species
GAUGAACGCUAGCGGCAGGCUUAACACAUGCAAGUCGAGGGGUAUAGGUUUUCGGACCUAGAGACCGGCGCACGGGUGCGUAACGCGUAUGCAAUCUACCUUUCACAGAGGGAUAGCCCAGAGAAAUUUGGAUUAAUACCUCAUAGUAUAGCAGUUUCGCAUGAAACCACUAUAAAAGUAUCAACGGUGAAAGAUGAGCAUGCGUCCCAUUAGCUAGAUGGUAAGGUAACGGCUUACAAUGGCUACGAUGGGUAGGGGUCCUGAGAGGGAGAUCCCCCACACUGGUACUGAGACACGGACCAGACUCCUACGGGAGGCAGCAGUGAGGAAUAUUGGUCAAUGGACGCAAGUCUGAACCAGCCAUGCCGCGUGCAGGAUGACGGUCCUAUGGAUUGUAAACUGCUUUUGUACGAGAAGAAACAACAUUACGUGUAAUGUCUUGACGGUAUCGUAAGAAUAAGGAUCGGCUAACUCCGUGCCAGCAGCCGCCGUAACAC